rnacentral:rRNA from 1 species
AUUGAACGCUGGCGGCAUGCUUUACACAUGCAAGUCGAACGGUAACAGGCCGCAAGGUGCUGACGAGUGGCGAACGGGUGAGUAAUGCAUCGGAACGUGCCCAGUCGUGGGGGAUAACGCAGCGAAAGCUGUGCUAAUACCGCAUACGAUCUGUGGAUGAAAGCGGGGGACCGAAAGGCCUCGCGCGAUUCGAGCGGCCGAUGUCAGAUUAGGUAGUUGGUGGGGUAAAGGCUCACCAAGCCAACGAUCUGUAGCUGGUAUGAGAGGACGACCGGCCACACUGGGACUGAGACACGGCCCAGACUCCUACGGGAGGCAGCAGUGGGGAAUUUUGGACAAUGGGCGCAAGCCUGAUCCAGCGAUGCCGCGUGCAGGAAGAAGGCCUUCGGGUUGUAAACUGCUUUUGUACGGAGCGAAAAGGCUCUCUCUAAUACAGGGGGCUCAUGACGGUACCGUAAGAAUAAGCACCGGCUAACUACGUGCCAGCCGCCGCCGUAACAC